CCAUUUCAGCUUGCUAGUGCAGAAAGAUGUUGUGAAUUCAGUUGCUGAAUGAGCCCAGACUGACUGCAAACACUAACAUUGCUAGAGAGAUGCCAAAGAGUUGCAGGUGAAUCUGACCUGAUCCGGGCAACAGCAAAACGAUAUGUGGCACAAAG